GGAGUCUGGACCGUUUCUCAGUUCCAAUGUGGCCGUUCAACCUCUCAGUCCGGCUACCGAUCGUUGACUUGGUGGGCCGUUGCCCCGCCAACUAUCUAAUCGGACGCGAGCCCAUCCCUAUGCAAUAAAUCUUUGCCAACAGGACCAUGCGAUCCCGUUGGUUCAUGCGGUAUUAGCAUCCGUUUCCGGAGGUUAUCCCGCACAUAGGGGCAGGUUGCUCACGCGUUACUCACCCGUCCGCCACUGACUUGAGGACCGAAGCCCUCUCGCCCGUUCGACUUGAAUGUGUUAUGCACGCCGCCAGCGUUCAUC
rnacentral:rRNA from 1 species